rnacentral:lncRNA from 1 species
AACAACGAAAAUAACACACAAAAAUUGAUUUCAUAAUACUUUCAUUGCAAUUGUGUUGCAAUUAUGACAGGGAAGAGCGACUCAACAAAGGUGAGCAAAAUUGAAGUUGUUUGUGAUAUUUUAGCUAUUCUUAUAAUUUUUAGUUUUUUUUAUUCUAAAAGAUAUGUCUCCAUAAUCUACAGAUAGCCAUCCAAGUUGAGGGGCCUCAAAAUGUGAACGAAGAGAGCUUAAUCCUACAGAGAAUUGCUAAAGGGAGAACAAAAUUGGAAAAGCUGAAACAAGAAAAUCGUGAAAAGGAGUUGGAACUACUUAUGUUCAAGGCUUUGCGGAACAAUGCUAGCCAACUUGACUGUUGAUGAUUCGGUUGAUCUCAUUGAGGCCAUCGAGAAAAAAAUCAACGAGAUUGAUAUUAAGAUUGCAGAAUUCAACUGAGC